ACGCUGGCGGCAGGCCUAACACAUGCAAGUCGAGCGCUACCUUCGGGUGGAGCGGCGGACGGGUUAGUAACGCGUGGGAAUAUACCCAGUUCUAAGGAAUAGCCACUGGAAACGGUGAGUAAUACCUUAUACGCCCUUCGGGGGAAAGAUUUAUCGGAAUUGGAUUAGCCCGCGUUAGAUUAGAUAGUUGGUGGGGUAAUGGCCUACCAAGUCUACGAUCUAUAGCUGGUUUGAGAGGAUGAUCAGCAACACUGGGACUGGGACACGGCCCAGACUCCUACGGGAGGCAGCAGUGGGGAAUCUUAGACAAUGGGCGAAAGCCUGAUCUAGCCAUGCCGCGUGAGUGAUGAAGGCCCUAGGGUCGUAAAGCUCUUUCAACUGUGAAGAUAAUGACGGUAGCAGUAGAAGAAACCCCGGCUAACUCCGUGCCAGCAGCCGCGGUAAUACGGAGGGGGUUAGCGUUGUUCGGAAUUACUGGGCGUAAAGCGUACGUAGGCGGAUUAAUAAGUUAGAGGUGAAAUCCCAGGGCUCGACCCUGGAACUGCCUUUAAAGCUGUUAGUCUUGAGAUCGAGAGAGGUGAGUGGAAUUCCA
rnacentral:rRNA from 1 species